ensembl:lncRNA
GCAGCCUGGAGAGACGCUCCCUCUCCCUGCGCCACGGUCGCAGUUCCAACUACCACAACUGGGGGCGUCCGUUCCCUCUGCAGUCUGGAUGGAGUCGCAGGUCUAGCUCAAACAGCCUAGGUCGAAGGAGCUAUGGGUUCAGCGGAUUACCUCCAGUGGGAGGGAGCCUCCGCUUGCACAGCACCCGCUCGCCCCACUCCUACACCUAUGCACCAGAGCAGGAGUCCCUUCUUUCCCACCCAGCCCACUCCCAUCAUCCUCUGCCCCCUCAUCAUCCACCUCCACCCCCAUUUUUCCUCUCCAGGCAUUUUGCCGCAAGGAGAGAUCGGCGGGCUCUUUCCCUCGAACUCCCUGAAUUGUUUCGGGGAGUGGGACAGCCACCAGGCCUUCCUCCCAUCCACCCAGACGCUGGCAA